rnacentral:rRNA from 1 species
CACUUUACAAUGCGGGAAACCGCGAUAAGGGAACCCCGAGUGCCAGCACCAAGUGUUGGCUGUCCAGAUGAUUAAAUCUCAUUUGUUAGCAAGGGCCGGGCAAGACCGGUGCCAGCCGCCGCGGUAACACCGGCGGCCCGAGUGGUAACCGUUUUUAUUGGGUCUAAAGGGUCCGUAGCCGGUCUGAUCAGUCUUUUGGGAAAUCUGGCAGCUUAACUGUCAGGCUUCUAAGAGAUACUGUCAGGCUUGGGACCGGGAGAGGUAAGGGGUACUCCAAGGGUAGGAGUGAAAUCUUGUAAUCCUUGGGGGACCAUCUGUGGCGAAGGCGCCUUACCAGAACGGGUCCGACGGUGAGGGACGAAAGCUAGGGGAGCAAACCGGAUUAGAUACCCGGGUAGUCCUAGCUGUAAACGAUGCUCGCUAGGUGUCAGGCACGGUGCGUCCGUGUUUGGUGCCGUAGGGAAGCCGAGAAGCGAGCCACCUGGGAAGUACGGUCGCAAGGCUGAAACUUAAAGGAAUUGGCGGGGGAGCACUACAGCGGGUGGAGCCUGCGGUUU